rnacentral:rRNA from 1 species
GACGAACGCUGGCGGCAUGCCUAACACAUGCAAGUCGAACGAUACCUUCGGGUCUAGUGUGGCACGGGUGCGUAACCCAUGGGAACCUGCCUGUAUGUUCGGAGUAACACAUAGAAAUAUGAUCUAAUACCGCAUGAUGUCUUCGGACCAAAGAUUUAUCGCCUUUAAAUGGGGCCGCGGUGGAUUAGCUAGUUGGUGGGGUAAAGGCCUACCAAGGCGACGAUGCAUAGCUGGUCUGAGAGGAUGAUCAGCCACACUGGGACUGAGACGCGGCACAGACUCCUACGGGAGGAAGAAGUGGGGAAUAUUGGACCAGGGGCGAAAGGCUGAUGAAGCACGGCCGCGUGAGUGAUGAAGGCCUUAGGGUUGUGAAGCUCUUUUGACCGAGAUGAUAAUGACGGUAUCGGGAGAAUAAGCUCCGGCUAACUACGUG